rnacentral:rRNA from 1 species
GAUCAAUGGCUCAGGAUGAACGCUAGCGGCAGGCUUAACACAUGCAAGUCGAGGGGCAGCACGAGGUAGCAAUACUUUGGUGGCGACCGGCGCACGGGUGCGUAACGCGUAUGCAACCUACCUUUAACAGGGGCAUAACACUGAGAAAUUGGUACUAAUUCCCCAUAACAUUCGAGAAGGCAUCUUCUUGGGUUAAAAACUCCGGUGGUUAAAGAUGGGCAUGCGUUGUAUUAGCUAGUUGGUGAGGUAACGG